rnacentral:rRNA from 1 species
GACGAACGCUGGCGGCGUGCUUAACACAUGCAAGUCGAACGGAAAGGCCCUGCUUUUGUGGGGUGCUCGAGUGGCGAACGGGUGAGUAACACGUGAGUAAACUGCCCUUGACUUUGGGAUAACUUCAGGAAACUGGGGCUAAUACCGGAUAGGAGCUCCUGCUGCAUGGUGGGGGUUGGAAAGUUUCGGCGGUUGGGGAUGGACUCGCGGCUUAUCAGCUUGUUGGUGGGGUAGUGGCUUACCAAGGCUUUGACGGGUAGCCGGCCUGAGAGGGUGACCGGCCACAUGGGGACUGAGAUACGGCCCAGACUCCUACGGGAGGCAGCAGUGGGGAAUAUUACACAAUGGGCGGAAGCCUGAUGCAGCAACGCCGCGUGCGGGAUGACGGCCUUCGGGUUGUAAACCGCUUUCGCCUGUGACGAAGCGUGAGUGACGGUAAUGGGUAAAGAAGCACCGGCUAACUACGUG